rnacentral:lncRNA from 1 species
AUUUGUUUGACAAAAAUCAAAUUAAUCCAACAGGAUUUAGUAGUACACCAUAUAGACCCAGCAGAAACAAGGUUCUUGAGAGAAGUGGGAAACAUUCAAACAAGGCAUUAGGUAUACACCAUAGGUUAAUGGAAUGGGCAUGCUUGGAUAUGACUGCAGAUGUAUUAUUUAUAAAAAAAUUUAUUUUGUAUAUCAAUGAAUUAUAUAUUAUUUUAAAAACUGACAAUCAGCAAAAAUUAAGGUAUUAUAAAAUAUUUAAUAUUAAUUUUUAAAACAAGGGAGCGAUCAUAAAGUUUUUGUUAAUAUGAGGAGCAAAAGCUUAUAAUGUGGGUGAAAGGAAGUCGAAAAGUUUUGAGAUCAAAACUCAUUCCUAACUGUAUCUAAAUUGUUCCUGAGCAAAUCAUUCCUGAACAAAGUUGUAUUGCACCCUAAUGUGACCUAAUCUGUCCAAUGGGUCAUUCCAGAAAACAUCCAUACCACCCCCAUGGAGGAAAUUGGAAGUUAACCCCCCUAUCCCCUUCGGAUGUCCUAAUACAUUUACUAUGAUCACAAACAAUUUUUUCUCCCCUCCCUCUCCAGACGGCAGAAAUUUCCUCCUUGGGGGGAGUGUGGAUCUUUUCUGGAAUGACCCAAUGCUAGAUGAUUUUAUGUGUCAAGGAGACUAGGUGAGACCACUAUUGUACUCAAUACAGGUACAUAUAUUGGAUUAUUGGUUGUGUGAAAUCUUAUCAUCUUUCCUUGAAAAGUUGAGGAAUUGAAAUAGCCUUUGCCCCACACAUAACAUAUACUUUAUGACUG